AGCGUAGGCGGACACUUAAGUCAGGGGUGAAAUCCCGGGGCUCAACCUCGGAACUGCCUUUGAUACUGGGUGUCUUGAGUGUGAUAGAGGUAUGUGGAACUCCGAGUGUAGAGGUGAAAUUCGUAGAUAUUCGGAAGAACACCAGUGGCGAAGGCGACAUACUGGAUCAUUACUGACGCUGAGGCUCGAAAGCGUGGGGAGCAAACAGGAUUAGAUACCCGCGUA
rnacentral:rRNA from 1 species